rnacentral:rRNA from 2 species
AGAUUAAGUUAUUAAGGGCGCACGGUGGAUGCCUUGGCACUAGAAGCCGAUGAAGGACGUUACUAACGACGAUAUGCUUUGGGGAGCUGUAAGUAAGCUUUGAUCCAGAGAUUUCCGAAUGGGGAAACCCAGCAUGAGUUAUGUCAUGUUAUCGAUAUGUGAAUACAUAGCAUAUCAGAAGGCACACCCGGAGAACUGAAACAUCUUAGUACCCGGAGGAAGAGAAAGAAAAUUCGAUUCCCUUAGUAGCGGCGAGCGAAACGGGAAGAGCCCAAACCAACAAGCUUGCUUGUUGGGGUUGUAGGACACUCUAUACGGAGUUACAAAGGACGACAUUAGACGAAUCAUCUGGAAAGAUGAAUCAAAGAAGGUAAUAAUCCUGUAGUCGAAAAUGUUGUCUCUCUUGAGUGGAUCCUGAGUACGACGGAGCACGUGAAAUUCCGUCGGAAUCAGGGAGGACCAUCUCCUAAGGCUAAAUACUCUCUAGUGACCGAUAGUGAACCAGUACCGUGAGGGAAAGGUGAAAAGCACCCCGGAAGGGGAGUGAAAUAGAACCUGAAACCGUGUGCUUACAAGUAGUCAGAGCCCGUUAAUGGGUGAUGGCGUGCCUUUUGUAGAAUGAAC